rnacentral:lncRNA from 1 species
GUUUAUGAAGAUAGUAGAAAUUGCACGUUUGACUUUUAGUUAAUCAACCGACAUAGCCAAGGAGAAAAAGAGAAAAGGAAAUAUUGUGAUUUCUUGCGAUUAUUUCGAGGAAACUCCCCCUUUUUCCUUUGAACUUAUUCGACAUUUUUUUCUGACAGCUGCAUUGAAUAGACUCGACGAGAGACAGGGUCAGAAAAAACCUUUUUUUGUUCUUCUUUCGUUACCAUUACCCUGAAAUUGCUGUCAGUUCUUGCUUCUUGGGCCAGAAAUGAGAAAAUGGUUUAGUCUGAUUCCGGCAAAUUUUUCGGGAUGCACGUGCUCAAUGAAUCGUUAAAUUAUAGAGACAUUUUUCUGUUAACGACUUAACGGAUCUGCUCGUGUGCUGGCGUGCUGGACAACUGCUGUGGUUAUUUUCCACCUGUUCAGCACUGAAUGUGUGGUCCUACUACGAACUUCAUCAAAUGAAAGAAGAAUGCAGUGGGUUACGUGAUUCAGAGGCCCUUUUAUUGGACGAUCCGUUUUGUUUUGAAUCCCUGCGAUCCUAAUGCGUAGCAAUCUCCUUUCACGGUCGGAACCAGUUGCUGCAUUGGACUUUUGAAGCAUUGACACUCGGCUGGGCCACAGAAUAAUCGACCCCCUUGACUUAUCGUCACCACCUGUUUAUCUGGACAGGGACCUUUUCACGACAUUUCAGGGUCCUCUGCUCAAAACAGGGUAACAGUUACCAUCGGAAAAUCGCACAGAAUUGUCAUCGCAUCCAUCUUUUGGGAAAUCUAAUCCAGUUACGGGAAACGGCAAACUAUUGACAGGUAUUUGAUUGAUGACACUCUGUUGGUUGUUGUUGUUUUGUUGAUUUUCAUUAUUCUGUUGGUUGUUGUUUUGUUGGUUGUUGCUGUUUAAACUGACCACUGCAGCAAUAAUGGCCAUUCCGGCCGAUAAUGCUCCGGAGACUCCCGCAGCUAUUUCACCUGACCGUCCUGCGGCGACAAUGGCAGACGAUGCCAUACAAUUUGCUUCCAGUUUCUCACAAUCCUUUUCAUUGCUGACAUAAAUAGACCGACCAAUAUCUCGACCAUCAUCAUCUGAUGGUGCUGGAGAAGAUGAUGGAAAAGGUGGCGGAUUAACUGCCUGCGUGGAAUUGAGGCAAGUGGUUGUACAGUCCCCACUGGCAGUGACACAAGUGUAUCCCGCAUCCUGUCGCCGAAACCCAAAAGGACUCUGCUGCAAUUCCAAGUUGAUUGAACCUUCUAUGUCUGAGCAUCCUGUUCAUCAGUUGCUGUAGCCAUUCUGUCACCGUCACUUUGCUAUUCAACGAGCGUGAAAGCUCUUCAGGAUGGUCGGUAAGCUCGUGAGUUUGGUGCCUCUUUACAUCGACAUAGUUUUGUAAUAAAUCCCAUCGCUAAUGCAAUACUCCCGAUUCCAAUUCCCGCCGAUAAGGCAACAGCGGUCCCAACAGCUAUUGCACCCGAUUUUCUAGCCUCGGCUAAUGCGGAAGAAACGACACAUUCACUUUCAAGUGUUGGCGCCAAUGCAAAUGCCACGGCUCCAGCGGCUAUUGCUGCCGAUAUUGCACCUGUCACUACGGCGGAUCCCGCUCCCGAUUUGGCUGCAGCGACGAUGGCUGACGAACCGAUGCAGUCGACUUGCAGUUUAUCACAAUCACUUUUAUCGACUGUCAGGAAAGUGCGAGUAGUUACGACGCUUGUUGAAGAAAUGAGAUGCACAACAGCCUGGAAAACGGCCGUUCGAGUACAAAAGCGACCGCUGAUCUGCUCCGGUGACAG